rnacentral:rRNA from 1 species
GAUGGUACCGUCAAGUCAGAGAGUUAUUAACUCUCAUCCCUUCUUCCCAUCUGAAAGCGGUUUACAACCCUAAGGCCUUCUUCCCGCACGCGGCGUCGCUGCAUCAGGCUUGCGCCCAUUGUGCAAUAUUCCC